CCAGCAGGCCCACGAGAAACCCGAACGCUUUUUUGAAGCGAAAGACGAGAGAGAGGACGGGGGGGCAGGGGUGGCAGCGGCCCCCGCUGCGGCUGUCAGGGAGGAAGCAGCGCUGCGGAGUUCCGACCCCGGAGAGGGUCGGAGCCGCCGAGGGGAAGAAACGCCUCAGUAGUUUAAACAGUCAGGGCCGAGAGACGGCCGCCUGGCCGGGCCACCGCUUCGUCCCCCCGGGGAGCCAGGGAGAUGCUUCGACACACGAAGGACCUCUGCUCCGCCGCAGCUUCCAGGCGGUACCCCUCCCCUUGUCGCCGCAGCCCACCCCGCCGCUGAGGGCAGCCGGGGCGGCUGCGGCCCGGCCCGGCCCAGCCCAGCCCGAGAGAGGAGGGAGCUUUUACCUGGGGGGCUCCCGCCCGAGACGGUGAGGACUCCAGGAAGGGAGCAGAAAAAAAUAAGAAAAAGGAUUGCAAAAGUUGUGGCAUUUUUAGUGACUGCAGAGUCAUCAUAGCCAAAACUGAUGAACUGAAGUGGGAAGAACCAUGCUGUUAUUUGAACACUUUAUAACUUCGUGGAACGCAGGAGACAGCAAGUCAUGCCCUUUGUACAGACAGCAUGUUUGGACUCGGCUUAAGAAGAAUUUGAGUUGCCCCCUCUAACACACAGCACAGAUUGCAGGUGAGCUCUAAUAAAGAAACAGAACUGGUACUUACGCUUAUAGAGAAUUUUGAAGAUGCAUCAGACAUACAAUGGCCAUGAAGAACUAGUACAACAAUGAAGAAACAAAAUAAACUUUGUUAAACAGUGUUUUCAACAGCAGUUUGAAAAGGAGAAAGAUUUUCAGCUGUCACGUGUGUAUCAGUUGCCUGCUUUUUCCUUUGUCAUGAGAAAUAGACUUUGUAAGUAUGCAGGCUUUCAUCUAAGUGUCUCAUUUGCUCUUGGUAGCACACUGCAAGAUGAUGAAUAUUGGUCAUAUGAUUAGAUCAGGAAGUGCAAAUGUUUUAACAUGGUCUAUGUGAUUUUUUGCUGUUAUUUCUGAUAAUGCUUGCAUCAACUCAAUUUUUCAAACCAUUAUUCAUCUUUCUUACGCCUAGUUUAAUAGGAGGUUGGAUGGUGACACUGGGGUCAGUUUCAGAUACUUAGAAAUCUGAGAGGAUACUGAAUACUGAAUGUUGGGAUACUUUUUGUUGCAGUCAACACAAAACACAUUAGAAACAAUGCCUUGACUAUUCCUUGUGAACGUAAAAGUGCUUUAUUUCAAACACUUGAAUGCUACAGUUAAUCCUGGCAUAUCUACCUAAAUGCUACUGAGGACAUCCUUGUAAUCUGGUAAUUACCAAAGCAAAGCCUUAAUUUCUCUUUGUAGGUGAUAAUUCUGGAGUUCUAGUGGUGGUGAUAAAUACAUUGUGAAAAACUUCAGCACAGGAGCUUUUGAAAGCUUUCAUUUCUUUUAAAGAGUUAAAAAAAAAGGGCAAAAGCAUGGGUUAGGUCCUUAAUGGUUGUUUGGCACAGCACCUUUAAUAUCUUUAAGUGCUAGAUGCUUUGUGUUGUAGACAGCAUCUAGCAAAACCAGUGGGAAAGCUAGGGAAACCACUUCCAGGGAAAAACGUGGUUUUCUGUCUCACUAUUUCUUUGCAUGCCUUUCCCAAUGUGUAAAGUCAGAACCUACUUCUGUUUUUUUCUCUUGCUGUACCUACCCAAACAUUCAUUAAUUCAAUGUUUUCCACAUUUCCCUUCAUGGUGAGAAAAGUUGGGACUUCAGAAAGUUAUACCUCAGAGUAAGACUUGGGUCCUUUUUUUCCGUCUUUGCUUACACUAAAUUAUCUCUCUGUAUAAUCCAAAUGUUGUUCUAGAUUUUGUCUCAACUGUUUAUUUUGUUGGAGCAAGCAAUUCAUGUACUCCUGCAUGUGAAACUCUGCUCACUUACCAUUAUACUGAAUUCAGAACAGUCUAUUCAGUACUACAGUCAGCAGUUUGUCUAUGGUUUUAUGCCUGUAGUCUAUCAUCAUUUGUAUCUUCUCAGGGCUUACACUUCUUGCUUUCAACAAGGGAUUGUUUUUUCUCUUCCCCAUCCCUGAGGCUUGUCCUGACACUCUUCGGAGCUUUGUCCUUUUAACAGACUCCCUUCUGUCCCAGGUCCAAGAAUGAAGACAGUACUUUUAUUUUUGUACCUAUUUGGUAUUGUCAGUGAAUUUUUUUCAUUGUUUCAGUAGCUAUGCUUGUGCAGACACUUCAGAAUAUAUUGAUUUCCUUAAGGAAGAAGGUAAAGCAAAUCUGCCUUUGUCUCUUUAAUACAGUACUUAAAGUACAUGACCAGAUAUUGCAAGCUUAUUCUCAAGGCCAGAGUCAUUUAUACCACCAUCCCAAAUAAGUUGCCCUUUCUACAUUUAUAGUUAGAACAGAUGUAGAGAUCUAUCUGUUGUAGGGAUUGACCCUGAUCUGAACUUGCUGAUGAAUGAGAAAUUGUAAAAUGACAUCCUGUCAACAUCCAGAGUGGGAUAAAAUCCCCAUGUUGAGGCAGCCCUGAGAUGGGACUUUCUCUUUCACCAUGGCAGGCUCUAACCCCAUCCCUCACUCCCCGUACCCUCUCCAAUAGCUGUUAGAUUUGUCACAGCAUAAUUAAAGAUUAAUUGGGCAAAAGAGAGAGACAAAAGGAGCAUGAAUCUGUGGCCAUGUGGUCAGAGCACUUGCUGGGGAAUGACUGGAAAUAAUCUAAAUCCUAUUCAUGUACUUUCUUCAGUAACUGUUCUUGAAACAGCAUUGGGAAUCCAAUUUUUCAUUUAAUUUACUAUUUCAAAUUUUACUUUCAGUGUGAAAGUCUUAUCCAGUAGGUAUCAAGUCAUGUUUUUCCUGUAGUGAAGACAUUUUUGAGCCUUGUGGUGGGAAGCAGGAAAAGCCCCAGUGGCAGGGCAAGGUGCCAAGUCCCAGCCCUAAGGUGUUUAUAGCACUGUUAGUAAGUCCAGCACCUCCGAGUACAAAUUUGAAAAUGAGCAUUUCCUCAAAGGUCAGAAAGCACAAGACAAAGUAUGAAGGCUGUCGUGGUUUGAUCCUGGUCAGCAGCCAACUACCACUCAGACACUUUCUCUCCCUUCCCUAGAGGCUGUGCCCUCUUCUUCCCUCCCCACAAGGCCCGUCAUGUGCCUGGUUCCUGUGUGCACCAGGCCUGGAGGGCACCAGCAGGUCCUGCCUGUCCCCCCCCGACUGCCCAUGCCCCCUUUUCCACCCAGACCAGACUGUCAGUCCCUGCCUGGGCUCUCUUUUUGGUGUGCCUCUCUCAGGUCCUGCCUGCCGGGUGGAGGUUAGGCCCCCGUUGCAGCUUGUCUGCAGUCCAGCUCCUUUGGGACUGCCUGGAGGGCCAUGGGGCUGCGGAUGGAUGGGUGUUGUGACCAGAUGACUGCCUCUUCCAGGUACGUCUUUAUUUCUCAUUUUGAGGAGGUGGCCCACCUGAGCGGAGGGGUAUUUCUGUGGCGGAGGCCAUGAGGAUGCAAAAGUGCGAGAGGCCAGGGAAGGGCCGCCAGUGCAGGCAGCGUGAGCAGGUGACGGGGCUGUUUGUGUGCUAGGCCCUGCUCCAAUCAUUACAUGAGUGUUUCAUCUAAUGACAGAUUAAUUAGUAACAGACCUUGGAGCAAAGACCAGGAAAAGGCCCUUGUGAAGUUAAAUCCCUUUCAUGUUACUGCCAGACCCUGAAACCCAGUUACUGAACUAGUAGGGACUCUCAGUGGCAGUGGGGCGGCCUCACCAGCAAGGUGAGUGAGGGUGCUCAGGACAUCCCCCUGGGUAAGGGGACGCUUUACGAGGGGACUUCAAACAGCAGCUCUUUCUGCUGCUUACAGCAGUGUCAUACCUGCUGGUUGUUAACACUGGCUUCUGGGACUCACCGUGGUGCUGGUCCUUGGCUGUCCUGUACAGAGGUAGUGUUAGGGGACUGUGUCCCCUUGGGAAAGGAGCUGGUUCUUAGGAGCACCAAAAAAAACACCCCAAAACACUGAGGCACAUGUGUGGAUUAUAGUGCAGUCUGGCUGGGAAAGCUGAGCACCUCAAUCCCAGCAAAAUGAACACUUGAUGUACAGAACUAGCCCUUUUGAGGGAAGCCCAUCAAAGGCACAGCCUGUGGCAUGGCAUUUGGGUGUCUCCAAGGUAAGGUGCCAGCUAAAUGGUGUUUUCAGGCUGAGUAGAUAAUUCCUCCCUGAACACCUGUAUAAAGGACCUCUCUCUUCCCUGGAUCUGUCGCAGGUUCAUACUAGCUGUCGCUUGAUUGUUACAUACCUCCUGAGGGUUACAUUUUCUCUAAAGGACUCACAUAAUACCUUUUCAAAAAAAGUAAUCUUUUAUUACCGCAAGACAGGCAAGCUCUUUUGUUAUUGUGAAUCUCCUCAGAACUGAAGCACUUUUACAGAGUUCAGUCUUUAAAUGUCCUCUUUUAUCCUCAUUCAGGAAAGUCUGGAUUUGAUAACGGUCCAGGAUUUUAGUAUUUCAUUUUAUCUAAAGAAAAAAAGUCCAAGGAGAAAUAUGGAAGUUUUUAUUCCUUUAAUUAUGAUUUUGUUUUCUGAAGUAGAGCAGUGAAUUCUUGGUAACAACAUAUAACUGAAUGAAGUAAAAUAAUCUGUAAUUUUAGUGUUUCAGCUAUUUUUGAAGUAAAAAUACACCUGUAUGUACAGUUUUGCUCACCCAUUACUUUUAAGCCUCAGUAAGCACUUCCUAUGUUGUACAAUAGUCAGCAUUUUGCCUAUAUUUUUAUGUAUGCAAUUUGUCAUCAGUUUGUGCUUCUUUAGGGCUUGGCAAUGAUUUCUUAAACAGUCUCUUCUAGUUGCAGUGUUCCUUUCAAAAAUUGGUUUUCCUUCCUGAAGCUCCUUGGUAAAAGGCAGAAGAAGGUAGAGUGGCAAAAGUAUUAUAAAUUAAAGCAGAUGGCAUUUCAGUUUUGGAGAAUAUGAUGAAGCUUGCACACAAUGUUAAUUGUCCCAUAACCCAGUGCAUUUCUUGCACUAUGUUGCAAAUCACCUUACUUUUCCAGAAGGAAGAAUUUUCACAUAGUUUAAGAAGGUAACAGUAAAAUAACAUACAAAUAAAAAGAAUCAUUCCAAACUGGGAAAACUUGGAGAGGUCAAUAGAUUGUCUAAUAUAAGGACUUCGUCUGGCUGAUGCUUUUGAAGAUGUCUAGGUCUUUACGAUGACCAUGUUUACAAUUCUUAUGCAAUUCAGAGACUGUAAGUAAUUCCAAGUACUGAAACAUCAAAAUACAGAGAAGAGUUGAACUGACUCAUCUACACCCCACAAAAUCACUUCCUCCGGGAACUGUCAAUAACAUGAUUAAAUAAGUUUUGACCAAUACAUCAUGAUCAUUUGAGGUUAGACUUUGCUGCCGUCAGAGGUGAAAUAAACUUUGUUGUGGCAAAAA